rnacentral:rRNA from 1 species
UACGGGGGGAGCAAGCGUUGUUCGGAUUUACUGGGCGUAAAGGGCGCGUAGGCGGUCAGCACAAGUCAGUUGUGAAAUCUCCGGGCUUAACCCGGAAAGGUCAACUGAUACUGUGCGACUAGAGUGCGGAAGGGGCAACUGGAAUUCUCGGUGUAGCGGUGAAAUGCGUAGAUAUCGAGAGGAACACCUGCGGCGAAGGCGGCAUCCUGGACCGGCAUUGACGCUGAGGCGCGAAAGCCAGGGGAGCAAACGGG